rnacentral:rRNA from 1 species
UACGGAGGGUGCAAACGUUGCUCGGAAUUAUUGGGCGUAAAGCGCACGUAGGCGGCCGAAUAAGUCGGGUGUGAAAGCCCUGGGCUCAACCCAGGAAGUGCACUCGAAACUGCUCGGCUUGAGUAUGGAAGAGGGUUGCGGAAUUCCCGGUGUAGAGGUGAAAUUCGUAGAUAUCGGGAGGAACACCAGUGGCGAAGGCGGCAACCUGGGCCAAUACUGACGCUGAGGUGCGAAAGCGUGGGGAGCAAACAGG